rnacentral:rRNA from 1 species
UACAGAGGUCCCGAGCGUUGUUCGGAAUUACUGGGCGUAAAGGGCGCGUAGGCGGCUCGCUAAGUCGGAUGUGAAAACUCUGGGCUCAACCCAGAGCCUGCAUUCGAAACUGACGAGCUCGAGUUCUGGAGGGGAAAGCGGAAUUCCUGGUGUAGCGGUGAAAUGCGUAGAUAUCAGGAGGAACACCGGUGGCGAAGGCGGCUUUCUGGACAGAAACUGACGCUGAUGCGCGAAAGCUAGGGGAGCAAACAGG